UACGGGGAGGCAGCAGUGGGGGAAUAUUGCACAAUGGGCGCAAGCCUGAUGCAGCCAUGCCGCGUGUGUGAAGAAGGACCUUCGGGUUGUAAAGCACUUUCAGUCGUGAGGAAGGUAGUGUAGUUAAUAGCUGCAUUAUUUGACGUUAGCGACAGAAGAAAGCACCGGCUAACUCCGUGCCAGCAGCCGCGGUAAUACGGAGGGUGCGAGCGUUAAUCGGAAUUACUGGGCGUAAAGCGCAUGCAGGUGGUUUGUUAAGUCAGAUGUGAAAGCCCGGGGCUCAACCUCGGAAUUGCAUUUGAAACUAGGCAGACUAGAGUAUUGUAGAGGGGGGUAGGAAUUUCAGGUGUAGCGGUGAAAUGCGUAGAGAUCUGAAGGAAUACCGGUGGCGAAGGCGGCCCCCUGGACAGAUACUGACACUCAGAUGCGAAAGCGUGGGGAGCAAACAGGAUUAGAUACCCUGGUAG
rnacentral:rRNA from 1 species